rnacentral:rRNA from 1 species
CCUACGGGUGGCAGCAGUGGGGGAUAUUGCACAAUGGGGGAAACCCUGAUGCAGCGACGCCGCGUGGGUGAAGAAGUAUUUCGGUAUGUAAAGCCCUAUCAGCAGGGAAGAAAGAAGACGGUACCUGACUAAGAAGCCCCGGCUAACUACGUGCCAGCAGCCGCGGUAAUACGUAGGGGGCGAGCGUUAUCCGGAUUCACUGGGUGUAAAGGGAGCGUAGACGGCCGUGCAAGCCAGGAGUGAAAGCCCGGGGCCCAACCCCGGGACUGCUCUUGGAACUGGGCGGCUGGAGUGCGGGAGGGGCAGGCGGAAUUCCUGGUGUAGCGGUGAAAUGCGUAGAUAUCAGGAGGAACACCGGCGGCGAAGGCGGCCUGCUGGACCGCGACUGACGUUGAGGCUCGAAAGCGUGGGGAGCGAACAGGAUUAGAUACCCUGGUAGUC